AUGAACGCUGGCGGCGUGCCUCACCCCUGCCCGUCGAACGGAGUCCAGCCUUUAAGACCUUCGGGUCAAAGAGGGGAAGACUGAGUGGCGGACGGGUGAGUAACACGUGGGCAACCUGGCUCAUAGAGGGGGAUAACAGAGAGAAAUUUCUGCUAAUACCGCAUAAGCACACACUGCCGCAUGGCAGAGGGUGAAAAGAGAAUCGCUAUGAGAUGGACCCGCGUCUGAUUAGCCAGUUGGCAGGGUAAGAGCCUACCAAAGCGACGAUCAGUAGCCGAUCUGAGAGGAUGAACGGCCACAUUGGGACUGAGACACGGCCCAAACUCCUACGGGAGGCAGCAGUGGGGGAUAUUGCACAAUGGGGGGAACCCUGAUGCAGCGACGCCGCGUGAGUGAAGAAGUAUUUCGGUAUGUAAAGCUCUAUCAGCAGGGAAGAUAAUGACAGUACCUGAAGAAGAAGCCCCGGCUAACUACGUG
rnacentral:rRNA from 1 species